AGUACCUGAUCCCAAGAACCAUCCAUCGAAGCGUGUGGAUCCCAAUGAUUGGGUAUCGAUGAUUGAUGUGUGGCAAACUGAAGAAUGGAAGACAAAAUCUGAUAAAGCGAAGUUGAGUCGAUCAAAGUUGCCCUACAAUCAUAUAUCUGGUUCCCGAUCAUUUGCAGCAGCGAUGUCACUAAUUAAAUCAAAAAAUGAUGGGCAAGCUCCCUCUUUUCCGGAAUUUUACAAGGAAACCCACUAC